ensembl:lncRNA
CUCACAACCUAGUUGUGCCUUGGUUCAGGCACAAAAAACUUCCUUUUAACCUUUUCAUUAUUUGUUCAAAGACAAAAGCUUUGUUCAAAUACGUUUCACUUUAAGGAACUACGUUCCAGAGAUUGAUCUGUAGAUAGGUUUGUAUGAAAUUGCCACGGGGCUAACCAUGUGAAAGACGUUUUCCUCUGAGCUUUCUUAUUUCAAUAUCAAUAAAAUGAAUCAAGCAAUUAGAUCUAAUUCCAUAAACUUGCUUUUGUAAAAAUGUUCUCUUGAACAUCUGUGGUGAAAGGAUUAGAUAAAGACCUAGCUUAUCCAAAGGGAAGGUAAAGGAGACGCUGUGGUCAGUAGCUAGCUUGCUGUUUAUUGUUCAGAAUGCUCUCAUUUCUUUUUCUGCAGUUUUCCUCUUUUGUGAAGCCUUACUGAAGUAUACUAACUUGCUAAAGUUUUCAUAGUGUGCCCCUUCUGUACUUCAUUUAUCACCCAGUUCACGAAAGAAUGUAAACAGAAUCUCAGGUGUCUAACAUGUUACAAAAUCAUAAAAUCAAAAGGUAUCCUUGAGGACAGCCAGUCUCAUAUCUUCUCUGAUUUAGUCAUCUCUCUACAACACCCUUGAGGGGGUCUUCAAAGCUCUUCUUUCAGCGACAAUUAACUCCCUCCCAUGUAAGAUAGUCUGUGGCAUUACUGGAUAGUUUUUAUUAUGGGAAAUUUCUUUCUUGUUUUGAAAUAGAUGGACUCAAAUUCAGAGGAGCAUGCUUGUGGUGGUGUAGAGACAUGGGGUCAUCUCACAUAAGGAGUGUCUGCAAGAGCCGGGGGAUGUUUCUUCUGUUGAAGAGUAUACUCAGAGGGGACAGGCGGCUGAGAAUAUGUAAACGACCAUCCUGUGUAAGGUGGAUUAAAUUCAGUCUGUGUGAUCCCAAAGGUGAUUUUGGCUUACUAAAUGAAUCACUGGCAGAGUUGCUUAAGGAUGGACUGGCUGCUUUGGGAGGUAGUAAGACCCUUACCACCACAGGGAUAAUAGGUCAGCAGACCACUUGACGAGACACCUGCGAUGAUCCUCACACAUUGGGGCGGUGCCGAUAGUAGAAGAUGUGGUUCUAUGAAAUUCUCCCUGCUUACUGGCCCUAGCUUGAAUGCUGUAUUUGUUUUCUAGGGACGACAUAACAGAGUAACACAAACUGGGUGGCUUAAACAACAAAAAUUUGUUGUCUCAUGGUUCUGAAGGUUAAAAGUCAGAAAUCAAGCCUAGGCCUGCCCAGGAAUGGGGGAAGCGUGCUCUGCUCCUUGGUGAUUUCCUAGUUCUGCGUCCCCUUCCACUCCUAGGUGUGAUUUCCUGCUCCUCCAGAGAAGAACAAUAAGAGGUGAGAAAGGUUUUAUUUCACCGAUAUAGUUCUAUCUGGCGAUAAAGUGGGAGCUGCAUUGCUUUUUUGACCCAGCCACAGAAGUCCUGCAGUGUCACUUCUGUCACAUUCUAUUGGUUAAAAAGAGAGUCAUAUGCACACCUAGGGUCAAGGGCAGGGGACCUAGAUAAGAAGUGUGUCAAAGAUGACAGAUAUACAAGUGUUGGCUCGUUUUCUCUUGGGGUGCUUUUUCUCCUGGAAGAUCCUCGUGGUUGAGGACCCGUGACUGCAGUUCCCUUUAAACAAGUACAGUUCCCGUAUCUGGCUGCUUUUGAGUCCCCCAUUAGCCAUAAGCUUCUGGCAACACACCUUUCCACUGUGGGCCUUUGGCUUCUGCAGGUUGACCUUAGGCUCUCUCAGACCCAAGAUCCACAUCUGGGUCCUAGGAGACAAACACCUUUUCCCACUGUCAUUGGAGGUAUAGAGCUUGUCCAAAGCAGCCCUUUCUGCUAUUUACAGUCAGGCUAAUCUAGUCACAGCCUGGCAUCUUCAGAUUUCUCCCAGCAGAGUCCGCUCUCUAGUCUCCCAAUCUUCAGAGACUGUAGACUAAGCUCUUUGAGAGGUUCUUAGAAGUUCCUCUCACCUGAAUUAAGGUAAGGGAAAGUACUUUCUCCUCCCCUCCCCCAAUCCCCUCUUUAGCAUCCAGAGCUCUUUCCAAAGGCAUUCUCUCUAUAGACUUCUCUAGUUUCAUCAUUUAGUGAGAUGGAGGUGGGAGACUGAGCGAUGUUGGUGGAAUCAGUGUCACAGACCUUAGGAUGUUUUCCUUGUUGUCUAGUACCUCAAUUUAGACACUCAGGGCCACUGGUGAAACCCCAAGACAAAAGAGUCUUAUAUUAAUAUCUUUCUGCCUUCAACAAAGAUUAAUCAAGCAGAAAUGCCACUUCCCCCAUAGUGGUGUUUAAUAAAUCCAGAAAACCACUGGUCAGGCUUGCCCAAGUUUAGAGGAAGGAUUUUCAGGAGUAUUUAUUUCAAAGUCAACGGAGGUUGCAUGGCAUUUUAAGAGAAGUUUGUGAGAAGAAACUUGAGAGGGGAAUGGAGGGUGAGAUUUCAAGAGGGCAGUGUUCUCUUUGUAAUCCAAAUCCUUGCCUCCUCUAAUCUACUCUUUACCGUGUGGUGCAGGGGCGAUGCUAAAAUGAAAACCUAUUUGUGUAAUUCCCCUUUAAUGAUGUUUUUAUCUCCUUUAAAAG